UGCGUAGGUGGUGAGGUAAGUCGGAUGUGAAAGCUCCGAGCUCAACUCGGAAAUGGCAUUGGAAACUACCUUGCUAGAGGGUUUGAGGGGGGACUGGAAUACUUGGUGUAGCAGUGAAAUGCGUAGAUAUCAAGUGGAACACCAGUGGCGAAGGCGAGUCCCUGGAAAACUCCUGACACUGAGGCACGAAAGCUAGGGGAGCAAACA
rnacentral:rRNA from 1 species